rnacentral:piRNA from 1 species
UGCACACGCCCUGAAACAGCAUACCGCA